GGGAAACCGAGUCUUAAUUGGGCGUUAAGUUGCAGGGUAUAGACCCGAAACCCGGUGAUCUAGCCAUGGGCAGGUUGAAGGUUGGGUAACACUAACUGGAGGACCGAACCGACUAAUGUUGAAAAAUUAGCGGAUGACCUGUGGCUGGGGGUGAAAGGCCAAUCAAACCGGGAGAUAGCUGGUUCUCCCCGAAAGCUAUUUAGGUAGCGCCUCGUGAAUUCAUCUCCGGGGGUAGAGCACUGUUUCGGCUAGGGGGCCAUCCCGGCUUACCAACCCGAUGCAAACUGCGAAUACCGGAGAAUGUUAUCACGGGAGACACACGGCGGGUGCUAACGUCCGUCGUGAAGAGGGAAACAACCCAGACCGCCAGCUAAGGUCCCAAAGUCAUGGUUAAGUGGGAAACGAUGUGGGAAGGCCCAGACAGCCAGGAUGUUGGCUUAGAAGCAGCCAUCAUUUAAAGAAAGCGUAAUAGCUCACUGGUCGAGUCGGCCUGCGCGGAAGAUGUAACGGGGCUAAACCAUGCACCGAAGCUGCGGCAGCGACGCUUAUGCGUUGUUGGGUAGGGGAGCGUUCUGUAAGCCUGUGAAGGUGUGUCGUGAGGCAUGCUGGAGGUAUCAGAAGUGCGAAUGCUGACAUAAGUAACGAUAAAGCGGGUGAAAAGCCCGCUCGCCGGAAGACCAAGGGUUCCUGUCCAACGUUAAUCGGGGCAGGGUGAGUCGACCCCUAAGGCGAGGCCGAAAGGCGUAGUCGAUGGGAAACGGGUUAAUAUUCCCGUACUUGGUGUUACUGCGAAGGGGGGACGGAGAAGGCUAUGUUGGCCGGGCGACGGUUGUCCCGGUUUAAGCGUGUAGGUGUGUGUUCCAGGUAAAUCCGGUUCACUUUAACACUGAGGCGUGAUGACGAGGCACUACGGUGCUGAAGUAACAAAUGCCCUGCUUCCAGGAAAAGCCUCUAAGCAUCAGGUAACAUCAAAUCGUACCCCAAACCGACACAGGUGGUCAGGUAGAGAAUACCAAGGCGCUUGAGAGAACUCGGGUGAAGGAACUAGGCAAAAUGGUGCCGUAACUUCGGGAGAAGGCACGCUGACACGUAGGUGAAGUGAUUUACUCAUGGAGCUGAAGUCAGUCGAAGAUACCAGCUGGCUGCAACUGUUUAUUAAAAACACAGCACUGUGCAAACACGAAAGUGGACGUAUACGGUGUGACGCCUGCCCGGUGCCGGAAGGUUAAUUGAUGGGGUCAGCGCAAGCGAAGCUCCUGAUCGAAGCCCCGGUAAACGGCGGCCGUAACUAUAACGGUCCUAAGGUAGCGAAAUUCCUUGUCGGGUAAGUUCCGACCUGCACGAAUGGCGUAAUGAUGGCCAGGCUGUCUCCACCCGAGACUCAGUGAAAUUGAACUCGCUGUGAAGAUGCAGUGUACCCGCGGCAAGACGGAAAGACCCCGUGAACCUUUACUAUAGCUUGACACUGAACAUUGAGCCUUGAUGUGUAGGAUAGGUGGGAGGCUUUGAAGUGUGGACGCCAGUCUGCAUGGAGCCGACCUUGAAAUACCACCCUUUAAUGUUUGAUGUUCUAACGUGGACCCGUUACCCGGGUUGCGGACAGUGUCUGGUGGGUAGUUUGACUGGGGCGGUCUCCUCCUAAAGAGUAACGGAGGAGCACGAAGGUUGGCUAAUCCUGGUCGGACAUCAGGAGGUUAGUGCAAUGGCAUAAGCCAGCUUGACUGCGAGCGUGACGGCGCGAGCAGGUGCGAAAGCAGGUCAUAGUGAUCCGGUGGUUCUGAAUGGAAGGGCCAUCGCUCAACGGAUAAAAGGUACUCCGGGGAUAACAGGCUGAUACCGCCCAAGAGUUCAUAUCGACGGCGGUGUUUGGCACCUCGAUGUCGGCUCAUCACAUCCUGGGGCUGAAGUAGGUCCCAAGGGUAUGGCUGUUCGCCAUUUAAAGUGGUACGCGAGCUGGGUUUAGAACGUCGUGAGACAGUUCGGUCCCUAUCUGCCGUGGGCGCUGGAGAACUGAGGGGGGCUGCUCCUAGUACGAGAGGACCGGAGUGGACGCAUCACUGGUGUUCGGGUUGUCAUGCCAAUGGCACUGCCCGGUAGCUAAAUGCGGAAGAGAUAAGUGCUGAAAGCAUCUAAGCACGAAACUUGCCCCGAGAUGAGUUCUCCCUGAGACUUAGAGUCUCCUGAAGGAACGUUGAAGACGACGACGUUGAUAGGCCGGGUGUGUAAGCGCAGCGAUGCGUUGAGCUAACCGGUACUAAUGAACCGUGAGGCUUAACCUUACAACGCCGAAG
rnacentral:rRNA from 1 species